rnacentral:rRNA from 1 species
GACGAACGCUGGCGGCGUGCCUAAUACAUGCAAGUAGAACGCAGUUGCGAACGGGUGAGUCACGCGUAGGUAACCUGCCUCAUAGCGGGGGAUAACUAUUGGAAACGAUAGCUAAUACCGCAUACUGUUAGAUGGACCUGCGUUGUAUUAGCUAGUUGGUGAGGUAAAGGCUCACCAAGGCGACGAUACAUAGCCGACCUGAGAGGUGGAUCGGCCACACUGGGACUGAGACACGGCCCAGACUCCUACGGGAGGCAGCAGUAGGGAAUCUUCGGCAAUGGGCGAAAGUCUGACCGAGCAACGCCGCGUGAGUGAAGAAGGUUUUCGGAUCGUAAAACUCUUUUAUUAGAGAAGCGGUACCGAACCAGAAAGCCACGGCUAACUACGUGCCAGCCGCCGCGGUAAUUC